rnacentral:rRNA from 1 species
AUGCAAGAUGAUGGGGUGAUCCCGGUUACCGGGUUCCCAUGGGUGGACGGCAUGGCAACGAGGAACUCGCAAAGACCAACUCGUACAUGGAGCAACACACGGUUCAACUCAUACAUUGCAAGCAUUCGAUCCACGGGCGGUCGUCUCGGGGUUAUACCUUCGAAGCAUGCGUUUCGGACGGAACGAGUUCGUAGUGGAAGUAGUUGUUCACAGGUCUUCGGCCAUGGAAGUAGUCGUACAUGUUUUGGUAGAGGUUUGGGGUCAAUGACACGAAACUUGACGCCCACGGGGUCUUUGCGGGUCGACGGUAGUGGUUCACAUUUUGUAGCCGUUCGACUCAUCGGUGGAGGAACUUGGCGGUCCAUGUAG